UAAAGUUGAUUGAAACAACGUCGUUUUGUUAGCGCAAAAUUCUUUUAGUUUUUUUCCAAAUCAGUUUUCCCCGAAAUCCCUAAGCUUUUUCUCAAAUCACUUUCAUUUUUUCCCAACUUUUUUUCCCCAAAUCAGUUCCCCUCCCCGAAAUCCAAAACUUUUUCCCCAAAUCCCCUCCUUGUUCCCCAACGUUUGCUGCAUCGCCGUCGACAGUCCUCUGCUGCAUCGCCGUCAACAGUCCUCCGCUGAUCACCGUGUAAGUUUUUAAGUUUUUCUGUUUGUUUGUUUGUUAAUUUAUUUUGUCAUAUUCAAAUCUUAAGAAUUUCUCUUCUGUAUAAAUUCUUCACCAUAAACAGCAACAAAAAAUUUCUCGCCGCCGUUCUUUUCGUCGAAACCAAAAAAUUUUGGUAAAUUGGAUGCUCUUUUCCAGAUUUUGAAACGUCAAACCUAGCUUUUAAUCAUUUGGGGUUGCUUAAAAGCCUAGGUCUGCUCAAGAUUAAGCUCAUUACUUGAUACUAUAUUGAGUUAAGAAGAUGACAAUCACCAAUCAUAUUUUUUCAUCACAUUCAAAUCAUUUUAAUUCUAAUUAAUUUGUUGUUCUACCAUGAUUUCCUCUCAAAAUGUUUGACCAAUUAAAUAUUUCUUAUUCAACCAUUUAAAAUGCUUCAAAAUUUAAUAAUAAUUACAAAUUUCUUAUAAAUAAAAUUAUAGUUACAAAAUAACUCAAUUCUCAUCUGUUUAUGAUUCAACUGAUUAAUCUAGUUCAACAACAUGCGUGCUCCGGUAAAUUUCAUUUAGAAAUUUAAUAAUAAAUUAAGAUUUAAUGCAUAUAUAUAUAUAUAUGAAAAUGAAAUUAAAAUAAUUAAAAUACAAAUGAUAAAUUAGUUAGUUGUUACACUUCAAAUGUUCCAAAUUUAAAUUUUAGAAAUAAGAGAAAAGGUUUUAUAUAAAUUUUAAAAGAUAUUUUAAGUAUUUUCUUUAUUCAGUUUAUGGUUUCAUUGCUUUUUUCUAUUUUUCUACCAUUGUGAGAUUUAUUUUUAUUAAUUAGGCUAACCUAAUUAAGUUGUGGGAGAAUUAUGGAGCCCAUAUUUGUAAGCCCAACUGAAAUAAUUGUAAAGGGAAAUGAAGCCCAUAUUUAUCUUAUCAUUUAUUUAUUAUUAUUUUUAUUAAAACGUGAAUUGGAUCCCGAACUAUUCGAUAGGUUCAUUUCAAUUGUCUAAUCAAACAACUCCAUUUUAAGCUCUCGUUGACUGAAUUUGUAAGUACCUCAUAUUACUUGCAUGUUUUAAUUUAAUACAACAUUUUUUUGAGAUAAAUCCAUGUUAGUGAUUUGAAUUAAGGCAUAAUAUCUUACAUAUCUCAUUGUUUCAAGCGAGCACGAUUGAGCAAAUUGCUCAACUUAAAGUGGAGGCAACAUCAAGAGAAGCAAAGGCUCAAAGAAAAUAUGAUGAACUCCAGCUACAAUUUAAGCGAAUACAACAAUGAGGGAAGUAGAGACAACAAGAAAAUAUGAUGAACUCCAGCUACAGCUUCAGAAUAUGAUGAAGAUGUUUUAGUAGUCGUAGAAUCCGUCAUCUUAGACUUUAGUUUUCUUAUUGUGAGGAUAUCUUAACAAUAUAAUUUUUGAAUAUAAUAUAUUUUGUUGUUUUUAUUUA